rnacentral:rRNA from 1 species
CCUACGGGUGGCAGCAGUGGGGGAUAUUGCACAAUGGGGGAAACCCUGAUGCAGCGACGCCGCGUGGGUGAAGAAGCGCCUCGGCGCGUAAAGCCCUGUCAGCAGGGAAGAAAAUGACGGUACCUGAAGAAGAAGCCCCGGCUAACUACGUGCCAGCAGCCGCGGUAAUACGUAGGGGGCAAGCGUUAUCCGGAUUUAUUGGGUUUAAAGGGUGCGUAGGCUGUGAGGUAAGUCAGCGGUGAAAUGCCCCCGCUCAACGGGGUGAAGUGCCAUUGAUACUGCCUUGCUGGAGGGCGGAUGGCGUGGGAGGAAGGUGUGGGGUAGCGGUGAAAUGCAUAGAGAUCACAAGGAACACCGAUUGCGAGGG